UGGGUUGGCCAGAAAGUUCGUUCAGGUUUUUCAUACAUUAUGGAAAAACUCGAACGAACUUUUUGGCCAGCCCAAU
rnacentral:miRNA from 1 species